CAAGUCGAACGGUAGGGACCUUGAGUUUUCGGACGAAGGGUUUUGAGAGUUUUGAACGGGUGAGUAACACGUAGGUUAUCUGCCUCUGGAUGGGGGAUAGCCCAUGGAAACAUGGGAUAAUACCGCAUGAAGCCGGGUGUCGUAGAGGCGCUGGGUGAAAGGCGCUUUUGUGCCGUCUGGAGAUGAGCCUGCGGUCCAUUAGUUAGUUGGUAGGGUAAAGGCCUACCAAGGCGAUGAUGGAUAGCCGGCCUGAGAGGGUGUACGGUCACACUGGGACUGAGACACGGCCCAGACUCCUACGGGAGGCAGCAGCUAAGAAUCUUCCGCAAUGGGCGCAAGCCUGACGGAGCGACGCCGCGUGGACGAUGAAGGCCGGAAGGUUGUAAAGUCCUUUUCUUGGAGAAGAAUAAGGUGAGGAGUGGAACGCCUUGCUGAUGACGUUAUCCAAGGAAUAAGCCCCGGCCAAUUACGUGCCAGCAGCCGCGGUAACACGUAUGGGGCGAGCGUUGUUCGGAAU
rnacentral:rRNA from 1 species